UGGAGAGUGCAAUCGUACUUGGGACCCAUCCCAAUGUCAUCACAUGGCUGUGGUGACUAGUGUAGACCUGGGAGAGUUUUUCCUCAACUGAGACGGAGUGUAGGUGGAUGGAUUAUGAGAAAUGCGAAGAUGUGGAGUUCAAGGCUAGAUGCACUUCACAUUCGGUGUGCGAUCUCGGCGUCUGGGACCUGAAAACGUCUUGGUUGGAUGGGUAAUCAAGGAUGAUACUACUCGGCACACCAAUGUACAUGUCAAUGUAUUUUUUACUUUUUCAGAGCUGCACUAUUUACGGACGAUUGUGUCUGUGAGAGAGGAAAUAAAUUAAUAGUAUUCACAAACAAGUCCCACUUAUUGUUUCUGUGCGUAAAAGGAAAUUGCAAUUUUUUGGUCAUAUUGUUUGUUCCGGCUGUUUGUCAUUGACUGUUCUUCAGGUUUGUGUUGCUGGAGGCCGUGGCCGAGGCAGGCCCAGAAUGUCAUGGCUUGAUAAUAUUAUUUCAUGGACUGCACUUGACGUGCAGUCCCUGCUCGCUACUGCACGCGAUCGAUUUUUAUGGCGCUCGCUUGUUCAUACUUGCUCUGUGACGCCUCGACGGCCUUAGGGCUAUGGGCUUGUGAUGACGACUAUUUACGUCUUGAUGCUUACUUCGGUGCUAGCGUGUUUCCCCCGGAUUAUUUCUAUCAUCAUGCGUGUUCUUGGGCUGAGCGAGCAUAUGCACGAGUGUGCAGCUAUAACCCCGUGUAUCUUUGGUUACACUUUGUUCUGCAAUGCAUGUACCUUGUUACAGUAUGUGCUUGCACUGCUUUGUGUGGCCUGCGUAUUUCAGGACUAUUCAGUGCAUUAGA